CUUGAGCAUCUCGAUUCGCCGUUAGCCCAGCGUUGUAUGCUCUUUUCUUCUCUCUCUCUCUCUCUCUCUCUCUCCUGCUGUCUCGUCCUCGCUCGCUCGUUCGCUCUCUCUUCUUCUUUCCCGCAACACCACACGAGGGAAUCGUCCGUCGCACGUCACACGCAGGUACCGGAUUGCACGCACGUUAACCGCCGGUCGCGCGUAAUUAACGCAUUCUUGAAUGAACGUCGCGCUGGAUCACGUCCGCGCGCGCGGUUACGAGACGCCGCCACCGCCGCCGCUGCCGCGUUAUUUACCGUCCGAUUCGGCGCUGUGUUCACGGUGAACGCGCGCGACCGCGCGAGCUCCGAUAUAACACCGCCCGCGCGCACACGUCAGUGUCCCUUUCUCUUUCAGUAUUAUCCACCCGCGUCCGGUCUGGUUUCCCGCCCCGCGCGUCGCCGCAACGUCCGUCGCUCCUCUUUUUUCUUCUCCCUCGCGCGCGCGCGCGCACGCGUGUGCACGUUUGCGACAGCGACAGCGACACUCUCGUGGCGACCGGAGCUCGUUGCGCUCGAGGAAUCGCGCGAUGUGUCAGCUCGCCGCGCGACACCGAUCCAAGUUGCUCUAUGCGAAUACGGCACCGAAGCACACCCUCCGCCGCUGGGGGGACGCUCGUGGACGAGGAUCGUAGUCCGAAUACGACGGGGCGGCGCCCAGGUGUUUCACGACGGAGCGCCGGGCGAAAAAACGUGCAACGAUGCGCGGCGCAACGGAACGCAGAACCAUCGAAACGCACACACCACGGGACAACCAGGAGGCGUGCGUGCGCGCGCGAUCACUCCACGUCGCUUGCUACUCCGCGUCUCUCUCUCUCUCUCCCGCCUGCUCCCGCCGUCGGCGCGUAUACUCGACCGCUCGCAUCGGCGUCGUCGACUUUCCCACCGCGCCACCCGCCGCGAGUCGCUCCUGGUCUGUCCUGGUCGCGCCACUCCAAACUCCAAGUCGCUCUCUGAGUCCGAGCAAGUCCGAGUUUCCGCCGACUUCGAGCGUGUUCCUUCGGCCUCGCUCGGCCGCGCUCGGCUACCCCCGGUCGCGCUCGUCGCUUUGCCGGCGGGUGCGCCCGAACGAACAAUGACCUCGAUCCAUCGACGACGCCAUCGCGCGUCGGCCAUUACUAAUCAUCUUCCUAGCCGACGAAAUCGUCUGAUCGUCGCGUUGGAUUCGUUUCGAUCUUCUCGUCGUCGUCGUCGAUUGGACUUCGUUUUGAUCUAGCGUACCACGCUUUGCGUGUGCAACAUCCCGAUGAUAUCGAUCUCAUGCACAGCCGACGAAAUACGUGACGUAUAAAGAGUCACUCUGCGAACGAAGCCCAAGGAUCACAGCUGCGCCGCAGAGUUUCUUUAUAGCAUACUCGCAUCUUUAAGGAUGCGGAGGAAGUAGAAGAAAUUAGAUUCACGAGCACGAGCGGCUGAUGACAGCUUCGACCGCCAGAAGUAAUGAGAGCCGGAUGCGAUCCAACUUCUGGCAGGAAGAUGUCCAUUUUCAUAAAUGAUCGAAGUACCCGUUCAGCGCGGAGACUGUAGUCCGUGGCAGUUUCAUCAGAAUUUGCAUAAGGACCGAGAGCACAGACUGGAGAGGAGCGCAUCCGCGGCCAAACUGAAUUAGCUUCAACAAUAACGACGCUGAUGAUGCUCCGCGAUGGCAAGGUCGCGUAAUAUCGCGAAAAUCCAUCAUCCCAUGCUUUUAUAAUCCACUUUGAUUUUUUUCUCUCAAUGCCUCAGAUUGCAUGCAUUAAUGCAACGCGAGUCCUUGGAAAUGGACGAACAAUUUCCAUUGUGAUGCGUUCUCACAGAGAGAUUCUUUAAAGCGCACGUACAUAGAACCAGGAAUCACGCGUUUUAUCUAUUCCUUGUCGAAAUCUCUCGGCGUAAAUUUCAUUGGACACGCUAUAGUCUUACAGUUCUUUCUAUGAAUUAUCCCGAGAUUGAAACCUCUUUCUUCCCUUGUGUGCAGGAAUAUAUUUAUCUUUCAAAUGCACAGGUGGCGCGGAAAAGAUGUGAUUGAAAGAAAUAAAUCUUAUCUCUUAAAACUUCUGGCUAGUACAAAUGCAGAUAAAUUUCAGGCUACUGAACUGGCGUACACUCAGAAAAGGUCAACAAAUAUUUGUUUGACUCAAAGAAACUUGUACGUUGCUUAAAGAAAAGAUUUUUUUAUUUGAAGAAAUUUUUUACUUGUUCCUUUUAUCAGAAUUAAAAAAGUAGUUUGGUUGUGCAAAACCAAACGCAAACCUUUUUUUAAAUGAAAGAAAUAUAUUUUUAAAACCAAAACAACCAAAUUAUUUCUUACAUUUUUAUCA